UACAGAGGUCCCAAGCGUUGUUCGGAUUCAUUGGGCGUAAAGGGUGCGUAGGCGGCGCGGUAAGUCGGGUGUGAAAUCUUGGAGCUUAACUCCAAAACUGCAUUCGAUACUGCCGUGCUUGAGGACUGGAGAGGAGACUGGAAUUUACGGUGUAGCGGUGAAAUGCGUAGAUAUCGUAAGGAAGACCAGUGGCGAAGGCGGGUCUCUGGACAGUUCCUGACGCUGAGGCACGAAGGCCAGGGGAGCAAACGGG
rnacentral:rRNA from 1 species